AUUGAACGCUGGCGGCAGGCCUAACACAUGCAAGUCGAGCGAGCGGCGGACGGGUGAGUAAUGUCUGGGGAACUGCCUGAUAGAGGGGGAUAACUACAGGAAACGGUGGCUAAUACCGCAUACUAUCGGAUGAACCCAGAUGGGAUUAGCUAGUAGGUGGGGUAAAGGCUCACCUAGGCGACGAUCCCUAGCUGGUCUGCGAGGAUGAUCAGCCACGCUGGGACUGAGGCACAGCCCAGACUCCUACGGGAGGCAGCAGUGGGGAAUGUUGCACAAUGGGCGCAAGCCUGAUGCAGCCAUGCCGCGUGUAUGAAGAAGGCCUUAGGGUUGUAAAGUACUUUCAGCGGGGAGGCGUUACCCGCAGAAGGAGCACCGGCUAACUCCGUGCCAGCAGCCGCGGUAAUUC
rnacentral:rRNA from 1 species